ACAUGCAGUCGAGCGGCAGCACAGAGAACUUGUUUCUCGGGUGGCGAGCGGCGGACGGGUGAGUAAUGCCUGGGAAUUGCCCUGAUGUGGGGGAUAACCAUUGGAAACGAUGGCUAAUACCGCAUGAUAGCUUCGGCUCAAAGAGGGGGACCUUCGGGCCUCUCGCGUCAGGAUAUGCCCAGGUGGGAUUAGCUAGUUGGUGAGGUAAGGGCUCACCAAGGCGACGAUCCCUAGCUGGUCUGAGAGGAUGAUCAGCCACACUGGAACUGAGACACGGUCCAGACUCCUACGGGAGGCAGCAGUGGGGAAUAUUGCACAAUGGGCGCAAGCCUGAUGCAGCCAUGCCGCGUGUGUGAAGAAGGCCUUCGGGUUGUAAAGCACUUUCAGUCGUGAGGAAGGUGGUAGUGUUAAUAGCACUAUCAUUUGACGUUAGCGACAGAAGAAGCACCGGCUAACUCCGUGCCAGCAGCCGCGGUAAUACGGAGGGUGCGAGCGUUAAUCGGAAUUACUGGGCGUAAAGCGCAUGCAGGUGGUUUGUUAAGUCAGAUGUGAAAGCCCGGGGGCUCAACCUCGGAAACUGCAUUUUGAAACUGACAGACUAGAGUACUGUAGAGGGGGGGUAGAAUUUCAGGUGUAGCGGUGAAAUGCGUAGAGAUCUGAAAGGAAUACCGGUGGCGAAAGGCGGGCCCCCUGGUACAGAUACUGACACUCAGAUGCGGAAAGCGUGGGGAGCAAACAGGAUUUAGAAUACCCUGGUUAGUCCACGCUGUAACCGAAUGUUCUACUGAGAUUGUGACAUUGAGCGUGACUUCGAGCUAACGCAUUAAGGUAG
rnacentral:rRNA from 1 species